UUAAAAAAAAUACACGGCUUCUUAAACUAGUAGGCUAAUUCCACAGCCAACCCGAUACGAGUAGUGUCAUUUUGGUUGUGAAGUGCAUUAGCAGCAUAAAGAACACCAGCAAGGGGGCCCUCAUCAGUGAGAGUUUGUGUGUGAACGACCAGUAUCUUUGAUGAGGAGCCAGGAGCUCUACAGGGCUAUGCCCAUCAACGGGGCUCUGGCAAAGAACUCACCUCCAGCCUCUUGCCUGCUCUCCAACAGUCAUCGAUGGGGAGAACAGAUCACGGUAGGCUUAGUCUGACCUUUUUAGUCUGACCUUCAACAUAGUAUGUUUGUGUGUCAGAUAUUACCUAUCCCUAACUACCAUUGGUAAUAGAAUAAUGACCUGUGUGUGUGUUUACAGAUGCAUGCAGACCUGGCACUCAACACAUCCACAAUGAGAUGGACUGGAGAUGCUUUUGCCAGAUGGCAGCCUCAGUUGUUUGAUGUGGAGACCGUAAUUGCGUGACUACCUCAUGAAGCUGGUUGAAAGAAUGCCAAGAGUGUACAAAGCUGUCAUCAAGGCAAUGGGUGGCUACUUUGAAGAAUCUCAAAUAUAAAAUAUGUAUUGAUUUGUUUAACACUUUUUUUGGUUACUACAUGAUUCCAUAUGUGUUAUUUCAUAGUUUUGUUGUCUUCACUAAUA